rnacentral:rRNA from 1 species
AUGAUGCUGAGGAGGGUGGUGUCCGACCAGGCCGCGGCAGGGGAUGCGCUCGACGGCGCCGCAGGGGGGAGGCCCCGCGGCCCGGCCUUCUUCGCCGUGCCGCGGCUGCUCGUGGGGCUCGCGGCGGCCAAGCGCGGGACGCCGGACUGCGACUCUACCGCGCGCAGCCCCAAGUCGCCGCUCGAGCACAGGGCCUUCCCCGCGCUCGGCGGUUCGCUGCUCGGGUCGCCGCGGUCACCCAGGAGCUGGGACUCUCAGCGCGUCGGUCUGGGCGGUCUCGUCGACACCCUCGCCGAGCCCGCCGCCGACGCCAAGAAUCGCCUGCUCGGGUUCCAGAUGCGCCCAACGAAGCUGCAAUGCCUCGCCAAAUCCUACACCUCCCUGCCCAAAGACAUGCCGAAAGACUGCGGGCAUGCGCAACCGGAGCUCGGGGAGGUGGAGGUCGCCGGCGCCGGUGGCAUGUCCGUUCCUUGCACUAGGUUCUAUGGGGAUGUGAAGUCUGGUCCAGAGGUCAUCGUGUCCAGUGGUGCUCAGCUCGGCUUUAGUAACCACUCCGUCGACCGUGCCAAGUUCCCUGCUUCCGGGUCGCUGCCAGUGUCGAUUGGCGGACCACGCCGAUACAUCGGGUCCGUGUCGGCAAUGGAGGUCGAGCAGUCUGAGGACUACACCUGCAUCAUAGCUCACGGCUCCAAUCCGAAGACCACCCGCAUUUUUGGGGAUUGCAUCUUGGAGCCCUGCCCUGUUCUCAUGCCUGACUGGGAGAGCAAGGAGAUCGAUGUGGACAAGGAAGGAGCUGAGUUGUACUGGCUGGUCAAGGGCUCCCCCGACGCCGACGCCGCCGAGGAGUCCACGCGCUUCUGCUCGUCUUGCAAGAAGAACCUGAAUGGCAACGAAUCUUCCAUUUAUCGCGGUGAGAAUGCAUUUUGUGCUGGCAACUGCAGAAACCAAGCAGUCCUGAAUGAAGAUGAAGAUGAAGAUGAAGAUGAAGAUGAAGAUGAAGAUGAGAAAAAUCCUGCACUCUCCUCUCCCAGCUCAGCUAGUUCGACUUCGCAGUUUGACGACGAUGACAUCUUCAUCGAUGGGGUGGUCGUGCUGACAUGA